rnacentral:rRNA from 1 species
UGGGGAAUUUUGGACAAUGGGCGAAAGCCUGAUCCAGCAAUGCCGCGUGUGUGAAGAAGGCCUUCGGGUUGUAAAGCACUUUUGUCCGGAAAGAAAUCCUUGGCUCUAAUACAGUCGGGGGAUGACGGUACCGGAAGAAUAAGCACCGGCUAACUACGUGCCAGCAGCUGCGGUAAUACGUAGGGUGCAAGCGUUAAUCGGAAUUACUGGGCGUAAAGCGUGCGCAGGCGGUUUGCUAAGACCGAUGUGAAAUCCCCGGGCUUAACCUGGGAACUGCAUUGGUGACUGGCAGGCUAGAGUAUGGCAGAGGGGGGUAGAAUUCCACGUGUAGCAGUGAAAUGCGUAGAGAUGUGGAGGAAUACCGAUGGCGAAGGCAGCCCCCUGGGCCAAUACUGACGCUCAUGCACGAAAGCGUGGGGAGCAAAACAGGAUUAGAUACCCUGGUAGUCCACGCCCUAAAACGACGUCAACUAGUUGUUGGGGAUUCAUUUCCUUAGUAACGUAGCUAACGCGUGAAGUUGACCGCCUGGGGAGUACGGUCGCAAGAUUAAAACUCAAAGGAAUUGACGGGGUCAUAGCUGUUUCCU